GGGACACGUGGUAUCCUGUCUGAAUAUGGGGGGACCAUCCUCCAAGGCUAAAUACUCCUGACUGACCGAUAGUGAACCAGUACCGUGAGGGAAAGGCGAAAAGAACCCCGGCGAGGGGAGUGAAAAAGAACCUGAAACCGUGUACGUACAAGCAGUGGGAGCCUCUUAAUGGGGUGACUGCGUACCUUUUGUAUAAUGGGUCAGCGACUUAUAUUCUGUAGCAAGGUUAACCGAAUAGGGGAGCCGAAGGGAAACCGAGUCUUAACUGGGCGUUAAGUUGCAGGGUAUAGACCCGAAACCCGGUGAUCUAGCCAUGGGCAGGUUGAAGGUUGGGUAACACUAACUGGAGGACCGAACCGACUAAUGUUGAAAAAUUAGCGGAUGACUUGUGGCUGGGGGUGAAAGGCCAAUCAAACCGGGAGAUAGCUGGUUCUCCCCGAAAGCUAUUUAGGUAGCGCCUCGUGAAUUCAUCUCCGGGGGUAGAGCACUGUUUCGGCAAGGGGGUCAUCCCGACUUACCAACCCGAUGCAAACUGCGAAUACCGGAGAAUGUUAUCACGGGAGACACACGGCGGGUGCUAACGUCCGUCGUGAAGAGGGAAACAACCCAGACCGCCAGCUAAGGUCCCAAAGUCAUGGUUAAGUGGGAAACGAUGUGGGAAGGCCCAGACAGCCAGGAUGUUGGCUUAGAAGCAGCCAUCAUUUAAAGAAAGCGUAAUAGCUCACUGGUCGAGUCGGCCUGCGCGGAAGAUGUAACGGGGCUAAACCAUGCACCGAAGCUGCGGCAGCGACACUAUGUGUUGUUGGGUAGGGGAGCGUUCUGUAAGCCUGUGAAGGUGGCCUGUGAGGGUUGCUGGAGGUAUCAGAAGUGCGAAUGCUGACAUAAGUAACGAUAAAGCGGGUGAAAAGCCCGCUCGCCGGAAGACCAAGGGUUCCUGUCCAACGUUAAUCGGGGCAGGGUGAGUCGACCCCUAAGGCGAGGCCGAAAGGCGUAGUCGAUGGGAAACAGGUUAAUAUUCCUGUACUUGGUGUUACUGCGAAGGGGGGACGGAGAAGGCUAUGUUGGCCGGGCGACGGUUGUCCCGGUUUAAGCGUGUAGGCUGGUUUUCCAGGCAAAUCCGGAAAAUCAAGGCUGAGGCGUGAUGACGAGGCACUACGGUGCUGAAGCGACAAAUGCCCUGCUUCCAGGAAAAGCCUCUAAGCAUCAGGUAACAUCAAAUCGUACCCCAAACCGACACAGGUGGUCAGGUAGAGAAUACCAAGGCGCUUGAGAGAACUCGGGUGAAGGAACUAGGCAAAAUGGUGCCGUAACUUCGGGAGAAGGCACGCUGAUAUGUAGGUGAAGCGACUUGCUCGUGGAGCUGAAAUCAGUCGAAGAUACCAGCUGGCUGCAACUGUUUAUUAAAAACACAGCACUGUGCAAACACGAAAGUGGACGUAUACGGUGUGACGCCUGCCCGGUGCCGGAAGGUUAAUUGAUGGGGUUAGCGGUAACGCGAAGCUCUUGAUCGAAGCCCCGGUAAACGGCGGCCGUAACUAUAACGGUCCUAAGGUAGCGAAAUUCCUUGUCGGGUAAGUUCCGACCUGCACGAAUGGCGUAAUGAUGGCCAGGCUGUCUCCACCCGAGACUCAGUGAAAUUGAACUCGCUGUGAAGAUGCAGUGUACCCGCGGCAAGACGGAAAGACCCCGUGAACCUUUACUAUAGCUUGACACUGAACAUUGAGCCUUGAUGUGUAGGAUAGGUGGGAGGCUUUGAAGUGUGGACGCCAGUCUGCAUGGAGCCGACCUUGAAAUACCACCCUUUAAUGUUUGAUGUUCUAACGUGGGCCCCUAAUCGGGGUUGCGGACAGUGUCUGGUGGGUAGUUUGACUGGGGCGGUCUCCUCCUAAAGAGUAACGGAGGAGCACGAAGGUUGGCUAAUCCUGGUCGGACAUCAGGAGGUUAGUGCAAUGGCAUAAGCCAGCUUGACUGCGAGCGUGACGGCGCGAGCAGGUGCGAAAGCAGGUCAUAGUGAUCCGGUGGUUCUGAAUGGAAGGGCCAUCGCUCAACGGAUAAAAGGUACUCCGGGGAUAACAGGCUGAUACCGCCCAAGAGUUCAUAUCGACGGCGGUGUUUGGCACCUCGAUGUCGGCUCAUCACAUCCUGGGGCUGAAGUAGGUCCCAAGGGUAUGGCUGUUCGCCAUUUAAAGUGGUACGCGAGCUGGGUUUAGAACGUCGUGAGACAGUUCGGUCCCUAUCUGCCGUGGGCGCUGGAGAACUGAGGGGGGCUGCUCCUAGUACGAGAGGACCGGAGUGGACGCAUCACUGGUGUUCGGGUUGUCAUGCCAAUGGCACUGCCCGGUAGCUAAAUGCGGAAGAGAUAAGUGCUGAAAGCAUCUAAGCACGAAACUUGCCCCGAGAUGAGUUCUCCCUGACUCCUUGAGAGUCCUGAAGGAACGUUGAAGACGACGACGUUGAUAGGCCGGGUGUGUAAGCGCAGCGAUGCGUUGAGCUAACCGGUACUAAUGAACCGUGAG
rnacentral:rRNA from 1 species